GGGUUUGAGGGCAAUCUGGCUGCAACAUCUGUGACCCAACUGAUUGUCACGCUUGAUUCCGCUGAUCUGACUGGCUAGGCAGGUUUCCCCUUUUCUCCCUCAGUGCUCCAUGUGUGUCCCUUCCAAAUCUGCGAGCUUGGUCAAAGAGGAUGUCCAUCCCCCAUAGAGGAAGACUGUUCUCCAGUCAAGGGUAUACAAAUAGCUGUGCUUCCCUGCUAGAAACUCCAAACAAGCUCUUGUAAAAAGCGCCUUCAUAAAGUAAGGUAAGAACACAGAGUACCUGGUUCUAACUU
ensembl:misc_RNA 7SK 7SK RNA